UACAGAGGUCUCAAGCGUUGUUCGGAUUCAUUGGGCGUAAAGGGUGCGUAGGCGGCGCGGUAAGUCGGGUGUGAAAUCUUGGAGCUUAACUCCGAAACUGCAUUCGAUACUGCCGUGCUUGAGGACUGGAGAGGAGACUGGAAUUUACGGUGUAGCGGUGAAAUGCGUAGAUAUCGUAAGGAAGACCAGUGGCGAAGGCGGGUCUCUGGACGGUUCCUGACGCUGAGGCACGAAGGCCAGGGGAGCAAACGGG
rnacentral:rRNA from 1 species